GACGAACGCUGGCGGCGUGCUUAACACAUGCAAGUCGAACGGAAAGGCCCUGCUUUUGUGGGGUGCUCGAGUGGCGAACGGGUGAGUAACACGUGAGUAACCUGCCCUUGACUUUGGGAUAACUUCAGGAAACGGGGGCUAAUACCGGAUAGGAGCUCCUGCUGCAUGGUGGGGGUUGGAAAGUUUCGGCGGGUGGGGAUGGACUCGCGGCUUAUCAGCUUGUUGGUGGGGUAGUGGCUUACCAAGGCUUUGACGGGUAGCCGGCCUGAGAGGGUGACCGGCCACAUUGGGACUGAGAUACGGCCCAGACUCCUACGGGAGGCAGCAGUGGGGAAUAUUGCACAAUGGGCGGAAGCCUGAUGCAGCAACGCCGCGUGCGGGAUGACGGCCUUCGGGUUGUAAACCGCUUUCGCCUGUGACGAAGCGUGAGUGACGGUAAUGGGUAAAGAAGCACCGGCUAACUACGUG
rnacentral:rRNA from 1 species